rnacentral:rRNA from 1 species
AUUGAACGCUGGCGGAAUGCUUUACACAUGCAAGUCGAACGGCAGCACGGGGGCAACCCUGGUGGCGAGUGGCGAACGGGUGAGUAAUACAUCGGAACGUGCCCAGUCGUGGGGGAUAACGUAGCGAAAGUUACGCUAAUACCGCAUACGAUCUACGGAUGAAAGCGGGGGACCGUAAGGCCUCGCGCGAUUGGAGCGGCCGAUGUCAGAUUAGGUAGUUGGUGGGGUAAAGGCUCACCAAGCCGACGAUCUGUAGCUGGUCUGAGAGGACGACCAGCCACAGUGGGACUGGGCCACGGCCCAGAUUCCUACGGGAGGCAGCAGUGGGGAAUUUUGGACAAUGGGCGCAGGCCUGAUCCAGCCAUUCCGCGUGCAGGACGAAGGCAUUCGGGUUGUAAACUGCUUUUGUACGGAACGAAAAGGCUCUGGUUAAUACCUGGGGCUCAUGACGGUACCGUAAGAAUAAGCACCGGCUAACUACGUGCCAGCAGCCGCCGUAA